AACGGACACUCUGGAAAGCGUUCCGGCGGUUGCCGGAACCACCGAAGGGGUAACCCCGGCGCCAUAUUCGGCCCAAGGGGGAAAACUCUCAGGUUCCCGUGACAGAGGGGGCAUG
rnacentral:ncRNA from 1 species